rnacentral:tRNA from 1 species
GCGCCUGUAGCUCAGUGGAUAGAGCACCGGUCUUCGGAACCAGGUGUCGGGGGUUCGAAUCCCUCCAGGCGUGCCA